CCUACGGGAGUCAGCAGUGAGGAAUAUUGGUCAAUGGACGAGAGUCUGAACCAGCCAAGUAGCGUGAAGGAUGACUGCCCUAUGGGUUGUCAACUUCUUUUAUAUGGGAAUAAAAUGUUCCACGUGUGGGAUUUUGUAUGUACCAUAUGAAUAAGGAUCGGCUAACUCCGUGCCCUCAGCCGCGGUAAUACGGAGGAUCCGACCGUUUUCCGGAUUUAUUGGGUUUAAAGGGAGCGUAGGUGGAUUGUUAAGUCAGUUGUGAAAGUUUGCGGCUCAACCGUAAAAUUGCAGUUGAAACUGGCAGUCGUGAGUACAGUAGAGGUGGGCGGAAUUCGGGGUGUAGCGGUGAAAGGCUUAGAUAUCACGAAGAACUCAGAUUGCGAAGGCAGUUCACUGGACUGCAACUGACACUGAGGCUCGAAAGUGUGGGUAUCAAACAGGAUUAGAUACCCUAGUAGUC
rnacentral:rRNA from 1 species